CACCCACAGCAUAUGGAGGUUCCCAGGCAAGGAGUCCAAUCGGAGCUGUAGCCACCGGCCUACACCACAGUCACAGUAACGUGGGAUCUGAGCCAUGUCUUCAACCUACAUUACAACUCACAGCAACACUGGAUCCCUAACCAUGGAUCAAGGCUGGGGAUUGAACCUACGUCCUCAUGGAUGCUACUUGGGUUCACUAACAGCUGAGCCAUGACAGGAACACCAGUACUCUUUUGUAUUCAAUAAAAUAUCCAUCGUUUUAAAGAACAGAAGAAUAAUAAAAUUCCUUAUUGUCAGUGUGGGUUUUCUGCUAUUUAUAGCCAAAAUAAAACAUGGCCCCAAUUCAUGUAGUCAAUAAGGACCUUUCUUAUUUUCGCAAAUGAGACCCCACGUCCACUCACCAAUCUCAGCUACUCCUAGUUUUCUCCAUCAUGGAUUUCUAGGUUCCCUGGAAUAUUAGCCUAUUUGGCUAGAAUAAGAAAUCCAGGGAGUUCCCAUUGUGGCUCAAUGGUUAAUGACCCUGACUAAUAUGCAUGAGGAUGCCAGUUCGAUCUCUGGCCUCACUCAGUGGGUUAAGGAUUCAGCGUUGCCGUGAGCUGUGGUGUAGGUCAUGGCUCAGAUCUGGCAUUGCUGUGACUGUGACGUAGGCCAGCAGCUGCAGCUCCAAUUGGUCCCCUAGCCUGGGAACAUCCAUGUGCCACAGGUGUGGCCUUAAAAAGAAAAAAAAGAAAGAAAGAAAGAAAGAAGUCCAGGAGAAAAAAGGCCCAGCACGUGUAGGUGCUCACUGGUGUUUCCUGAAGGCAAGGUGGUGUUAGACGCCUUCCACCAGAAUUUCUGUUUCCUGAAUUUGGAGGCUUCCAGUCCCCAUCGUUGGCCUCUCCAUCCUCCAUCCUUAACUGGACCCCCGGGGGAAGGGUAGGGAGGCUGAGGACGUGGGCAGAGAAGAGGAACCAAAGGAAAUGAGGAUCCAAUUACCAGCUGUAUGACCUUGGGGAAGUUGCUUAAUUUUAUGGAGCCUCUUCUGCUAAAUGAUAAUAAUGGUAAUUAUCGAACUGAUUAACUCAAGGAGAAUCGUUGCAUUGAUUCCUCACUGAUAAAUAGUAUGACAUUCUGCCCAAAGCCCCUCUUCAGAGCCCGCCCUCCUCUUCCCCAGGCGCUGGGAAGGCUGGCUAUGGAUGGCACAGUCCCCCCACCACAGGCAGAUGACAACUUGGCCAAGAUCGUGGGCUGGGGUGGCCCCAGCCUAUGAGUGACUGCUGCGCAGACCUAAAGGAGCAUCCCCUUGGGUCACUUCGGGAUAACGUUCAAGGCCAUCCCCCUCCCGAGUAUCCUGUGGGAGCUUCUGAGUCCUGGUCACAGCCACAUGGCAGGUCCAUUUCUCUUCCUGCCCAAUCUUGCCAUCCCAGCUUCCCGACAGGUCAGUCUCCAGAGAGUAAUCCUGAGUAAACUCUCUGAGUGCAAUUCUCAUUUCUGAGUCUGUUUCUAGGAAACCUUAUCGAAAACAAUGCUGAUGACGGGGAGGCUACUAACGAUAGUGGAUCCACCAGGGCUGUGGGAGUCUGGGACAAGAUAAGGACGGUCAAGAGUUGCCGCUGUCCAACACGAAAGAGUCAAUCCUGAAUCUGAAGCUUCUCUUCGGUGAGGGGGGAAGAAAAAGAUUCCCUUGAGAGUCAUUUGGUGUGAUUUAUUUCUCCUUCUUAUGUUAUCCCAAGAGGAGAGCCAUUAGUUUCUCUCGUGGUGGCUGUCCUGGGUCCCCAGAGGGAGUUAUUCCACAGGGAGGGGCCCUACCCUAUAAUAUGCUCCGAGUCCCUGGCAUUCUGUAUGCUGUCAAUGCUUUACCCUCUCUGAGCACUUCCAUCAGAAUCCAUACCCUCAAGCUACAGACAUCCUCUCUCACCUCCUCUCUCAGCUUCCAAGAGAGCUAAUCCCCCAUCUAGUGCUUUAUCUGUCUAGAGAGAAACGCCCAGAGAAACCUGCCAAUCUGAACAGAAUAGAGUGUGGGAAAUCGUAUCAGACCUCCCUGUAAGUCACCAAACAGUGCAGGCAGUAAAAUUCUAAUACCACGCUGAGUCUGUUAUUGUAAUGAGAAGAGAAACUGAUGCAACGUCAAUCCAUCCUUAUUGCAGCAUGAAGAUUCUCCUAUAAUGCCAUACUGAACUCCAACUUGGAGGCAAUCCCCUGCUAACCUACUCAAAACUGCCCUAGAAUCAGCCUUUGAGUCUUCAGAAUUUUUAGUCUGAUGAUAACCAAGAGAGGAUUGUGGCUCUCAAAAAAAAAAAAAAAAUCAUUCCCACUGAGAUCUUGAAACAGAGCCUCCUACAAAAUUCAGUAAUAGAAGAGAGAUGGAUGGGAUAGAAAUGCAGACUGGCAACCUGAGACAUCACACAGGUGAGGGAAUAUUGGUCCAUAUUUAUUAUUUUGCCUCCUGACAGCAUCUUCAGACCAAACUGCCACAGAAGAACUCAGUCAUGGUUCCAGGAAAAAAAAAAAAAAGUACACAAUUAGAGAUAGACAGGGCAGAUAGAUAGUGAUAGGAAAAAGAAUACUUCCAGGCAAGGUAGAGCAAAUGGCAAGACGUCCAGGUCAGUGGCACUGGUGUGACUGCAGACAAAUUCACAUUUCCCGGAAAAAAAAAUGAGAUAAUCAUUGGGAGGAGAUGGCAGGAUGUGGUGGUGCAUGUUUGACACCAGUCCUGUUCCUUUAUUUGUGCCAGGAUGGCUGAUUUUGAUCAAGUAGCAAAGCUCCCACCUCAAGGAAGCACAUCAUAUUUCUAAGCCAGUCAAGGUAUUCUGUGCUUUCGUGGAUUAUUUCCAGGUAGGCUUGUGAUGAGCCAAUUAAAUGAAAGAGACAGGCUGCUGGGGCUGGUCAGCAAGACAUCUCUCCACAGAAGGAUCGAGGUAAAGCCUAGGACUCUGUUAUGCCAUGCCCAGCUUGUUUCAACACAUGUACACUUAAUAUAUAGUCAUCAAAAUAUGCAUAUGGGGAGUCACAGCAGACCUAUCCAUCCAUGACCUAAAAGAACUUGGAAGCAACUCAAAUAACCAUAAGUAAUAGAAUAAAUAAGCGCCAGUAUAACUAUGUAGUGGAAUAUUACACAGCAAUGACAAUGAACAAAAUAUAUGUACUCUCGACUCACUGGAUGAAUCUGUCACAGCCACAGAAGACAGUUGCCAUAAAGGACAUGCUGUGUUAUUCCAUUUACAUAAAAUUUUAUUUUUUAAUUUAUUAUUUAUUUAUU
rnacentral:lncRNA from 1 species